GUUCUAAACAUUUUCAUCCUUUUCUUAGUUCAAAGAAUUAUAUACUCUUAGUUUGAUGGCCUCAAUGAAGGCGGAGAAACCCCUCGGCUCCAAACCUUCCGCCACUGCCUCGGUCAAAAAGGAGCUUUCCAAGGCUCCCGGAGCCAAGAAGAUCGAGCAAAAGCUUCAAGAGCUCAAAAAGAAGGUAUCGGGUACAACUACAAGGUCAGCAGCUGCAAAGAAGAAAUGAAAGAUUGUAUUUUGAAUUUUAUUUUAUUAGUGCCAUGAUAUAUGCUUGUUGUGUGUGGCCUCUAGGUCUAAUCUCUAUGCAUGUGUGCAAACCCUUCUAGGGUUUAAUUUCCUGUUGAAAUAAAAAGUGUUUUCCAAACUUCUAUAGUGG